UGGUCUGAAAGCACAGUAAGAGUCUACAGCCAUGCUAGCAGCAAUAUUAGGCUGUACUUUGAACUGAAUGCUAACAUCAGCAUGUUAACAUGCUCACAAGGACUCGUUAAGCAGUAUGGAGGAUUAGUGGAAACAAAGAGAGAUCCAGGAGCCGACUCUCACUGAAGACAGAGACAGGAGGAAAAACUGUUGUUCUCUCAGCAGGAAAAUAUACUAAUGCUUCUCUAAAGACUAUUGUCAGUCAAAGAUUACUUUUCCAUUUCCAUGCUGAAUAAAUAUAAACUGAAAGAAUGG